AUUAGCUCAGCCGGUAGAGCAUACGCCUUUUAAGCGUAGGGUCAUGGGUUCAAAUCCCAUAUGU
rnacentral:tRNA from 1 species